AUGAAAAUUCUUUUGGUAAUUGGAGCCCUGAUUGGGGUCAGUUUGGGUAUUCCAUCUGAUUUAAAUCGUAUUGUAAAUGGAUCUAUUGCAAAAGAAGGUUCUGCUCCAUACAUGGCCUCUCUUAGAGACUCUCGAAAACAUCAUAUGUGUGGAGCUUCAAUCUUAGACGAACGCUGGGUUCUUACUGCUGCUCAUUGCCUCAAUUGGGGCCUUCUAAGAUAAGUCUACAUCGGCUCAAACUACCUCUCUCGUGAUGGUGAAUAUUAUGGCGUAGAAGAACAAGUCAUCCAUGACGACUACUUAGGCGAAUCUACUGGUCACAGCAAUGAUAUUGCCCUAAUCAAAGUCGAUAGAGAUAUCAAAUUCAGCAAAACUGUCCAACCUAUCAAAUUGCACAAAAGUUUAAUAAAUGGAGGUGAAAAAUUGAAAAUUACUGGAUGGGGAUUGACGAAUCAAAGUCAUAGUGAUGAACCAGAUGUUCUUCAAGAGUUGCAUGUAAAAGCACUUACUGAUUCUGAGUGCGAGAAAGCUACAGGUGAAGACCAUCCUACACACCUUUGUACCUUCGAAGCACCAUCCAAGGGUGUAUGCAUGGGAGAUUCUGGUGGUCCUUUGAUCUACAAUGGAGAGCAAGUUGGUGUCACAUCUUUAGUCUGGGAAGGUUGUGCUGUGGGCAAUCCUGAUUUGUUUACCAGAAUUUCUCUUUAUUUAGAUUGGAUUGAUAAAGUCAAGAAAGAAUAUUAAAUUAACUUUUUAAAUUUUAUAAUUAUCUUACAAAUACAAUUUAUUUGUAAUCAACC